AGUGAACGCUGGCGGUAGGCCUAACGCAUGCAAGUCGAACGGCAGCACAGUAAGAGCUUGCUCUUACGGGUGGCGAGUGGCGGACGGGUGAGGAAUACAUCGGAAUCUACUUUUUCGUGGGGGAUAACGUAGGGAAACUUACGCUAAUACCGCAUACGACCUACGGGUGAAAGCAGGGGAUCUUCGGACCUUGCGCGAUUGAAUGAGCCGAUGUCGGAUUAGCUAGUUGGCGGGGUAAAGGCCCACCAAGGCGACGAUCCGUAGCUGGUCUGAGAGGAUGAGCAGCCACACUGGAACUGAGACACGGUCCAGACUCCUACGGGAGGCAGCAGUGGGGAAUAUUGGACAAUGGGCGCAAGCCUGAUCCAGCCAUACCGCGUGGGUGAAGAAGGCCUUCGGGUUGUAAAGCCCUUUUGUUGGGAAAGAAAAGCAGCAGGUUAAUACCCCGCUGUUCUGACGGUACCCAAAGAAUAAGCACCGGCUAACUUCGUG
rnacentral:rRNA from 1 species